CAACGCAAUAAGGCGUUUUAUGCAGGCUUAAGACCCCUGCGUAGCGGCUAGAACCCGCAUCGGACUUCUAUUAAGGAGAAAACAAAAUG
rnacentral:ncRNA from 1 species